rnacentral:rRNA from 1 species
UACGGAGGGUGCAAGCGUUAUCCGGAUUCACUGGGUUUAAAGGGUGCGUAGGUGGCUUUGUAAGUCAGUGGUGAAAGCCCGGAGCUCAACUCCGGAACUGCCAUUGAUACUGCUUAGCUUGAAUCAAGUAGAGGUGGAUGGAAUAUUACAUGUAGCGGUGGAAUGCUUAGAUAUGUAAUAGAACACCGAUUGCGAAGGCAGUUCACUAUGCUUGUAUUGACACUGAGGCACGAAAGCGUGGGGAUCAAACAGG